CCAUUGAGCUUGAAUAUAUUAAUCUCUGCCAGAGUAUAGACAGACCAAGAACAUAUAAGCUGCUAACAAGUAUCAUAUAUGUCUGUGACUAGGAUGUUAUUAGUGUAUAUUCUAAGAAUGUCCUGAGCAUACCUGACAUCAUGCUUCAUGGUGUCAAAAGAUAAAGAACCAUGCAUUCGAAUUAAGAAUCGAGACUUGCUGGGUGGCAUGGACUGGAUUUUUUUGAUAAGUAAGAUUAAUAUGUGAUUUCAGAACGUUUUGAUGCAAUUAUUAUAAUCUUAAAUCACUAUGAUAUAAUAGAACAGAGGUUUCUGAACACAACCUUUAUUUGAUCAUUUUAGUAUAUAUUUUUUUGCCCAUUCGUAUAUUUAUUUCACCAGGUCAGAAUACUUACAAUGCAUCAAGCUUCAUGUGAAUUACCAGGAAUUCACAAAUGUAUAAAAUAUCAAGGAACUUAGCAUCUAAUGAGGGAGACACAUGUAAAUAAAUAAAGUUUAACUUACGUGAUACAUAAAGUUAAGUGAUCAAUAGUAAUUUUGUCAAGUUACUGUUGUUUCUCAGGUAUUACUGGUUUUAUACAGAAAGCAUUGUAUACAGAAAAUAUAUAAGCAUGGCACAAUAGACCGUCCAGUGUCCUUGUCCCGUCUCAGAGGACUCCGAAUAUCCCCUAUAUCACAAUACAAAUAACAUAGCCGAGGGGUCGAAAAGACAAAACAAUUCCAUGGGAUGAAUUAAAGCAGGCAACUGAUAGGGUUGAGAGCAUAUUCGAGCCUCUGCGUGUCCUCACAUGGCCUCUUCUCUGUACACGUGCAGAAUGAGCCAGCUCCGGUGGCUCUUCCUCUUCUUGUAAUGACAGCAGACCUAUAGGAUUAGGGCCUCACCUUUAUGAUCUCAUGUAACCUUAAUUGCCUCCCUAUGGGACCUGCCUCUGAACACAGACACACUGGAGAUCAGUGCUUCAAAAUAUGAAUUCUGAAGGGAUACAAUUUAGUCAUAACACAUUCCCUAGCCCCCCGCCCCAGCCAUAAUACAUUUACACUCCUGGCCUCCAUAGGCCAUAUGCAUAGUAACACUAAAUUACUCGAGUUACCUGAAUUGCCCACAUUUGUUCCUCCAUGGUGUUGCUUGUGCUUUUCUCUCUGCUAACUUCUCCUUGCUUCCCUGCCUGCCAAACCUUCAGCUCAACCUUAUCUGUGAAGCUUUCCCUGACUUUAGGAAGAAUUAUUGUAACUCGUAUAUAAUAUCCAGUAUGGCAUUAUCAUAUUAAAUAUUUGAUGGUAGAUGCUCAAUACAUAUUAAUAUUUUUGAACAUAUGAAUGACUUAAUAUUUGACAAGACUUCCCAAUAUUGCUGAACUCUGAAGCCAGUUCCCCAUUAAGUUAUAUUCAUGGAAUACUGCUAUGCAAUUAUGUCUUUCCCUCCAAACUUGAUAUAUGAAGUAAGAGACAGGGGCUUUUGCCUAAGACUUUCAGGGAGAAAUUUAAUUGAGGAAGUAUCUAAUAAUAAACAUUAUUGCUAAUUUUAUAUUUUCAGUCCGUAUCUCAAUCUUAUUUCCUGAAGAUGAAGAAUUUUUAGUUAGGAAAGACAGUGAUGUUAUUUAAAAUAAAAAGGAUAAAACAGGCACAUCUGGGAAACCCAGACUCCCUAAUGAUGUGGAACACCUUCUCCAAAAUGACCUAUAAAUCCAUUGUAGCAUUACUCAAACCCUGCUUAGUGUCCCCUUGGAUUGCUGCAGUCCAUACAAUUUCAGGUCAUAGAUCAGUGUAUAUUCCAGAUAUUGAGGGUGCAAUCAGAUUUUCAAGUUCAUACCCUGUGUUCACUGCCUAGCACUGUCAAUUGGAACAUAUGGCCCAGAUAAUAGAAAAAUUUAGGUGCUAACACCUCACUAAUAAAAGGAACUGUCCAAUGACCUUGAUAAUGUGGAACUCAUAACAUCUCAUUGUACUUACAAUGUAACAGGUGACUUACUGACAUGGAUGAUACUUCUUAUGAUCUGAAACAGGCAGUCUGAGCUUAGAAAUAAAUAUUAGCUGUGUUACCUUAGGCAAAUUUGUUACUCUGUGGCUCCCUUUCCUCAUCUUAAAACAGAAAUAAAGCCUACCUCUCAGGACCACUGUGAAGAUUAAAUGAAUUAAUAUAUGCAAAAUACUUAGAAUAGUAUCUGACAUUUAGUAAACAUUGAAAUGUUAGCUAUUAUGAUUAUUAUUGAAGUGUUGCUUACUUAGAAUUUGUCCUACUUAAGUGUACUCCAAUGAACAAGCCUGCAGUCUUAGAAUUCCACAUAGACUUCAAAGAUUACAACCAACCAGGGAAGGAUACUUCUCAUAUGAAAACCAAAACCCAUCAACUCCAUUAGCUAUUAUUCUUUUAGAGUUGAAAAUAUUUGUACAAUGCUGCUAUUAGGGUGUUUCUUUAGAAAAGACAGUAUAUAAUCUUUCAAUGCAUACAUAGAAUUCUCAAAUUUCUAGAAUUACAAGUCAUAUAUAAAUUCUAAAAACAUCUGAGGAUAUUAAUUUUCAAGACCCAUAACUGGAGUCUUUUUCUUGGUGUAGUCCUGAUGUCAGUAAACUUCCUAGGCCAUGCUAACCAUGGGAACUAUUCUUGGCUUGCAGCUCCAGUUCAGCAGUGAUUUGGUGAGAUAUCUGUGGCAAUCAUUGUCAGCAGAACCUUAUUUCUUCUUCUCCCUCUGCCGCAUUGACAAAACACCGUUAUCAGUUUCACUUGGGCUGGUCACAAAAACUUGGAAACAUUGUACUUCAGUCUAAGUGAGAGAGGAAUUCGGCAACUUUCCCUACUGCAGUACAUGAUUACUCAUUCCUUUCAGGCAUUCAGGUGAAAAAUCUGGAGUCAACCUUUACUCCUUCUCUUAUGUUCGUACCUCACAUCCAGUUUACAGAAAUCCUGUGGCUCUACCUAAAAAAAAGCCGCCAGAAACCAAUCCCGUUUUAUUACCUCCAAGGCUACUCCUGGACUAAGACAUCAUAAUAUCUCACCUUGAUUAUUGUAAUACUUUUUUUUU
rnacentral:lncRNA from 1 species